UACGGGGGGGGGCAAGCGUUUGUUCGGAAUUACUGGGCGUAAAGGGCGUGUAGGUGGCCAACUAAGUCCGACGUGAAAUCCCCAGGCUUAACCUGGGAACUGCGUCGGAUACUGGAUGGCUUGAAUUCGGGAGAGGAAUGCAGAAUUCCAGGUGUAGCGGUGAAAUGCGUAGAUAUUGGGAGGAACACCAGUGGCGAAGGCGGCUCACUGGACCGGAACUGACGCUGAGGCGCGAAAGCGUGGGGAGCAAACAGG
rnacentral:rRNA from 1 species